AAAAGGAGAGUAGACGUUUGACCCCAUCCCACAGUGUGUUCCGCUGAACCUGUCGACGGCGUCCGGGGCGAGUCUUCGCCGGCGACGAACGCUCCCGGCCCGGCCGUCGCCGGCGCCACCGCUAUGCACCGUCCGUCUGGAAGAGAAUAUCGUUCCGGCUUCUUUCCUCCCUUCGCCGCAGCGUCGCCGAUGGGAAGGAGGUAGGACUACAAGAAAGAAGGUGAAGCUGCACGCUGGAGACUGAUGUAUUUGACAAGCAAUUAAAGCCAGAGGUAGGACUACAAGAACAAAGUACGCUGAAGGCUGAUGUGUUUGACAGGUCCUUGAAGCUUUGCUCUCACCAACUAAUUUCCUCUUUGCUUUGAGGAACUCAAGGAGAUCCUGGAGUACAGCAUCACUGUUCUCGUUCCUCAUUAGAACCUCAGCAACCUCCGCAGAAUCCGAACAGACUCUGCGGUGCAGUACCCCAUGUGGAUGUGCAUGUCCAUCCUGCCAGGCCGCAGUAGUGCUGGGUCAAGCCGCUCCCUGUAAUUUGUGGUAAAAACGAUGAUCCUCUCCUCCCCGCUUGUCGACCAGAGACCGUCAACAAAGUUGAGCAGCCCAGAAAGCGUCACCUGUUCAACAAAUUUCCGAGCAGCAUUGAGCUGGACCUGACACGCUUCUCGCCUUCCUCCCGCUGCCGCAGGUCAAUGCUACAGUCAAUGUCUUCAACCACAAGGAUGGAUCGGUUGCUCAUCCCGACAAGAAGCCUCCGGAGGUCCGAGUUGCUUUUAACCUCGGUCAGCUCAAGAUCAUAGAUGUCAAACUUGAGGUAAUUCGCCAUCGCUGCGAUCAGGCUUGACUUGCCAGUCCCAGGUGGUCCGUAGAGCAGCUUCUUGUCCAUGGCGAGCGUGUCGAAGGUGGACGGGUGGCGGAGGUCGACGGCUGUCCAGGCGUCGUACUCGAUCAUGUGCAUCUUGAGGUUCCGGUGCUGGUCUUUCAUGGCCUUGGCCGUGGCGACGAUGUGCGGGAGAAAUUGCUUGUAGUUUCCGAUGUUAGUCAUGGUCUCUGUCAUCUUGCUCCUCAUCCAGCUGGUUAUUUGCACUGCUGUGUUCGCUCUUGAUCACAUUGGCAUCAUUCACUUUUGACUUCAGGAGAUCGAUGAGAUCAUGGAGCGCGACAUCAGCAUCAUCAUUCCUCAUCAGAACCUCAGCGACCUCUGCAGGUGUCACCAUCACCUCCUUCAUCAGCUUCUCAAUCUCCGGAUAUGUGGCAUGGCCGCAGCAGCGCCGGGUCAAGCCGCUCCUUGUAAUUGGUCGUGAAGACGAUGAUCCUCUCCUCCCCGCUCGCUGACCACAGCCCAUCAACAAAGUUGAGCAUUCCAGAAAGUGUAACCUGUGUGGAUCGUUCAAAUUUCCGUCAGCAUAUCAGCAUAUAGGUAAGGAGGAAGUUGUGGAAUGAAGAAUAUCAGAAAAGAAUCCGACUUGGUAUCUUCCUCGCCUCCCUCCCGUUGUUGCAGUUUGAUGGUGCAGUCGAUAUCCUCAACCACAAGAAUGGAUCGGCUGCUAAUGCCGACAAGAAGCUUCCUGAGGUCCAUGUUGCUUUGGACCGAAGUCAGCUCGAGAUCAUAUAUGUCAAACCUGAGAUGGUUGGCCAUGGCCGCGAUCAGGCUGGACUUUCCGGUCCCAGGUGGACCGUAGAGCAGGGAGUGGUAUGCCGUAUGCGGAGAAGACGAGGCCAGACGAAGGAGGUGGGUGCUGAUGAAGAAUUGAGGUGGAGGCGUGGAGCUUGGGUACGGUGGCGCGGCAUUUAUAUGCGCGAGUCGAGUGGCG